rnacentral:rRNA from 1 species
UACGUAGGGGGCUAGCGUUGUCCGGAAUCAUUGGGCGUAAAGAGCGUGUAGGCGGCUUGGUAAGUCCGCUGUGAAAGUCCAGGGCUCAACCCUGGAAAGCCAGUGGAAACUGUCAAGCUAGAGUCCGGAAGAGGCGAGUGGAACUCCUGGUGUAGCGGUGAAAUGCGCAGAUAUCAGGAGGAACACCAAUGGCGAAGGCAGCUCGCUGGGACGGUACUGACACUGAGACGCGAAAGCGUGGGGAGCAAACAGG